AAGUCGAACGGUGUCUUCGGACACAGUGGCGGACGGGUGAGUAACGCCUUAGAAUCUGCCUCUAGGUUGGGGACAACAGUUGGAAACGACUGCUAAUACCCGAUGUGCCGUAAGGUAAAAGAUUUAUUGCCUGGAGAGGAGCUCGCGUCUGAUUAGCUAGUUGGUGGGGUAAAAGCCCACCAAGGCAGCGAUCAGUAGCUGGUCUGAGAGGAUGAGCAGCCACACUGGGACUGAGACACGGCCCAGACUCCUACGGGAGGCAGCAGUGGGGAAUUUUCCGCAAUGGGCGAAAGCCUGACGGAGCAAUACCGCGUGAGGGAGGAAGGCCUUUGGGUUGUAAACCUCUUUUCUCAGGGAAGAAGAUCUGACGGUACCUGAGGAAUAAGCAUCGGCUAACUCCGUGCCAGCAGCCGCGGUAAUACGGAGGAUGCAAGCGUUAUCCGGAAUCAUUGGGCGUAAAGCGUCCGCAGGUGGUUUUUCAAGUCUGCUGUUAAAGACUGGAGCUCAACUCCGGAAAGGCAGUGGAAACUGGAAGACUAGAGUUCGGUAGGGGUAGCGGGAAUUCCCAGUGUAGCGGUGAAAUGCGUAGAUAUUGGGAAGAACAUCGGUGGCGAAGGCGCGCUACUGGACCGAAACUGACACUCAGGGACGAAAGCUAGGGGAGCGAAAGGGAUUAGAUACCCCUGUAGUCCUAGCUGUAAACGAUGGAAACUAGGUGUGGCUUGUAUCGACCCGAGCCGUGCCGUAGCUAACGCGUUAAGUUUCCCGCCUGGGGAGUACGCACGCAAGUGUGAAACUCAAAGGAAUUGACGGGGGCCCGCACAAACGGUGGAGUAUGUGGUUUAAUUC
rnacentral:rRNA from 1 species